UGCUGAUCUGAGGCUGUGUGACAGUGCUGUCUUGGCUGCCCUGGAGCCUGUUGGGGUCUGCUCCUUGCCCUGUUGGGAGGUGGCACAGCUAGGUGGGACCAGGGAGCACCUGCUGUCCUCUACCUCAGCUCUCAGAGGAAAGGAGUCUGAGCCAUAAACUGACAAACAUUGCUGAGACAUAGGACCACCUGCUGGAGUUGCUUUUCAGUGGAGGGGUGCAGGAUGAGGAAGGCUAUCCAAGCAGCCAUUCGCCAAAUGCUGAGCUAACUCUGGGGCUUCUCAUCCCAGACAAGGGUGGACUGAGUGGCUCUAGCCCAUCAGCUGUCAUGAAGAUUAUAUGAGAUAAUGCAUGUGGAGCAUCUGGUACGUAAUAAACACUCAUUAGAUUGGCUCCUUCUGUUCUGUGGUCUUCCCUGGAAGCUUGAUUUUUAUGAAGCUGGUAGAAGCCCUGGGUGCAUGAAGACAUUCACAGUUGGUGGAAAUCAGAUGAAGUUCUGCACAGCUUUGCUGAGAAAACUCAUUUCUGUUUCCUCUGGGUUACAUUCUUGUCGCCCGCUUUACCACAAGCUGGUGAAACAGCGGCAGAGAGAAUCGAUUGGCUACCAAUGUGAUGUUACUGAACACGGAAGUGGGAAGAGAUGUGCAGUAUCAUGCCAUUUAAAAAUAUUCCCAGCACAGAGUUACCAUAGAUGUAAAUGACCUGAAGAGCACAGUUGGGGAUACAAGGCACAGGAAGGAUAAGAGAAUCACCAAAGAUCAUGCAGAUAAAUGCAAUCUCAGAGUAAGUGGAAGAAAAGCCUGCUGAACAUUUUCUCCAUGACCUGCAGCCUGAGCAUGGAGUUGGGAAUCAUUCGGCUGAAGUAUCCCACUCUUUUUUCUGGAAGUCCUAUUUCCUGGGCCCUUGUACUUAGUUUUGUUUGGAUCUUCUUGAGCUGUAACAGCUAAACCUGCAGUUGCUGUGGGUAAGGUGGAGAAUAAAACACCCAAGUCCUGUCUUCAUGGAGCAGCAUAUUGAGUGGCUUCCCUUUUUACAUAGGAGGGCCAGGGACUUCUCUGAUAAGUAGGAAAGCAUUGGAGUAUUACGAGCAAAGAACUGGCCUGAUCCGACUUCAUAUUUCAAGAAAUUCACUGACUGGUCUGCAGAGAAGAGGCUGUGGGACUGGAAUCGUGGAGGCAAGGAGGCCAUUAGACAGCUCGUGUAACAAUCCACUUGAGAGGCAGUGGUGGCCUGGGAUAGGCUUAUGGUGGAGGUGAGGGCAAAAGGACUUUGGAUCAUGUUUAUAGUUACACAGGAGAGAAAGGGAAGAGUCAAUGAUGACUCCCAGGUUUUCAGCCUGAGAAAUUGCAAGAACUGGCUGAAUGAAUUCGCCCUUCAUCUCUGAGUGAGGAAUAUUCUAGGAAGUGUGUUUGGUGUGUGUGUGUGUGUGUGUGUGUGUGUGUGUGUGUGUGUGUGUGUGCGUGCGUGCAUGUUUGUAUAUCGCAGCAGAGAAUUGUAAAAUGAAAGUAAGAGAUGUAUUUUGUGUAUUUUAAAUUUGAGCUACCUCCAAGUAAGGAUUUUAAGCAAGUGGCUAGAUAUGAAUGUGACACGUUUAGAAGAAAGGUUGGGGCUGGAGUUUUCAGUGGGUGAUCUUAAAAGGCCCGAGGCUAAAUGAGAUUACUUAGCUAGAUAGAUAAAUUCAUAAAAAAGGGGUCAGAGCACUGAAUCCUGGAGCACUCCUACACACCAUUUAGAGCUUGGGGAAAGAGAGGGAAGCAGCAAAGAAGAGCAGUUGCUUAAAAGCAGUUUUGGUGGCUGUGUGGCAGCAGCUACAUAAACACUGGGUUUCUAUAUUAGAGAUCUGCUUCCAAAGUGGGGGGCCACCAGGGAAUAUUUAUGCUUGUGUGUGGCCACUACUCAGGAUCACUGCCAAAAAAGACUCCUUUCUUAUCAUUAAAAAAUCUGCAGAAGAUUGGUCAGUUACUGCUAAGAUGGAAAAUUAGCUUGAAUUUAAUUAGUUUCAAUUAGGGAAAUUUGCUUAAAUGAAAAGAAAGCAGAGAUUGUAUAUAUUCCAUAAUAUAAGCAUAUCUAUAAUAUGAUAGAAACAAGAAACUCUUGAUACUAUGGAUAUACAAAACAUCAGCCUGUGCAUUUAUAAACCCACACAGCAUGUGGUAUAUAAAUUCAGGUAUCAGAAUGCACAUUAACAAAGUCAUCUAUACAAUACAUGAAAACAAAAUUUGGGCUUUGGAACUCUUUUUCUCUCUGAUUGCAAUUGGUGUUUAGUUUUUUAGGUAACCCCAGAGGAAGCUUGUUUAAUGCAUGAUGUAUUUCAGGUGUGGAUCUAAUUGUUCAGUUUUGAAUUUUCAACCAUGUGGUUAAAAGUUUUCUUCAGUUGCAUUUUUAGACAACAGCAACUGCCUCUCUGGUUGACAACAAACACCGUAAGUAUAAUAAGGAUGAGAUAUUAAUAGAUUAAAAAAAAACAUUCUCCCUCUAUCUUGUGGACCUCUGCACAGCCCUGUCCCUAAUUGGGCCACCUAGAAGUGGGGAAGGGAAUGCAGAGCCAGAGAAUGAAGGCAUCAAAUUCUUGGUUAAGUAUGAAAAGUGUUGAUCUUAGUAUAUAAGAAAAAUAAUUUCAAAAGAAUAAAGGUAGAGAAAAAGCUUCUUUGGGCCACAUCAUAGAAGAGUGAAUUGGAGAGGAAAUGGGAGGCUGGGACACUGAUGGGCUGUUGAGAAGGGGUCCUAACCUGCAAUUUACCCCAUUAUUUCCAAAGAUCUGUGUGGGGUAAAAUAUUGUGACUUCUCCAAACAUCACAUGUACUCACACCCCACCUGCUAAGUCUUAGAAGGAGCUCAUUGUUUCCUUUUAGUUUCAGAGGUGGGGCUCGGAGACAGGUCUGCACCAAUGGGAUCACCAGGGAUGUCCAGUGGGCAAUGGUGCUAGGGACUGGGGACCUUGGGGGAGGAGACACAGUGGCUUUGAGCCUUCUCCUCUGCAGAGUGGCAUCUUUAGGAUGAAUGCUCUGUUUCCCUUCCAUGUGUCAGGGUGGCAAGAUGGGCUGAGGCUGCCCGUGUUUGGGAGAGGCUGCCAUCCUUGGCAGGCCUAACAAGAUGUGUUGAGCCUCUUUUUAGAUGUCUCCAUCUCCAUCCUUUCAUACUUCUUGAGGAGCCUCCUUUGUGCCCGCAGAUGUAUGUUUGCUAUCUGCUUCUUUGUGCUCCAACACUACCUCUAUUAAGCAUUUCCCUUACUGCACUAUCUACUUGUCUGUCUGCCCUAUUGGGUUGUGAGUCUUUUGAGUAUAAAAACCAAAUUAUGAUGAUUUUUAUAUUCUCCAAGAUCCAGGGUAGUGCCUGGGUCAUGGUAGGCAAGCAGUAACGAUUUGUUAUGUUAUAAAGGAAAACAAACACGUUCAUUGUCUAUGUCUUGACUGUUCUCUUACCUGGUGUGGGUAACUGGGUUAGGUAGAGUAGAGUGACUUGGCCUAAACUUAACGAUGUUAAACAAUAACUAACCACCUGCAGUGUUAUCUCGUCUUUAUUUCCUUUCCUUCAGAUAACAGAUUGAAGCCUAUUUUCUCUGGAAAGCCCUUGCUGAUUAUCCAUCUUACAAUCUGCUAGCCAGUUUCCUUUCUAAGACGUUUCCUGUUACCAUUUUGACUGUAGCCAUAAAUACGGGUUCCUAGAUUUUAUUUCUCUUUUUUGCCACAUUGUGUUCUUAGAAAUCAUGUCUUCCAUAAAACGGAACAUUUUCUUCUCUAGGACAAUAUUGUAAUUAAAAGCUGACCAAGGACUCAGUAUCAGAUAAAAUAUACUCAGGAUCAAUAGCAUGUCAAAAAGACAAAAGCUACAGCUGCAAUCCUCUAAAAUAAUUUAACAGAGUAAAAUCAUGCCCCAAGUGCUAUGAAAGCGUCAUAACUGUAUACAGUUUAUUGAUUAUAUAAGGAUACUUGGAAUUAUGUAAAAACAUAAAAUUAAACCCUACUCUGUCAUAUUUGCCUAAAAUUAAUAUACACACUAAAACAAAUAUUUUCAACACAUUAAUGAGCAGCAAUUUAUUCUGCUUUUAAGUUAUAAAUGGAAUAAUGGAGGACAAGAUGGUUUAGACCUCUUCUAUAAAAGUCAGUCCAAGCACAAUAUCCACCAUAUCAUAGAUAAGUUUCACAAAUGCCUAGGGUACCUAACUGGUUUUCUUGGUUUCACUGGAGAUGGCUGGUAAUUGUAGGUC